rnacentral:rRNA from 1 species
GUUGAACGCUGGCGGCAGGCCUAACACAUGCAAGUCGAGCGGAGCGGCGGACGGGGAGGUAAUGCCUAGGAAUUUGCAUGGUCGUGGGGGACAGCGUCCGGAUGCGGGCGCUAAUACAGCAUCCUAUAAGACGAGGCUAGGUCGGAUUAGCUAGCUGGAGGGGUAACGGCCUACCAAGGCGACGAUCCGAAGCUGGUCUGUGAGGAUGAUCAGUCACACUGGAACUUAGACACGCACCAGACUCCUACGGGAGGCAGCAGUGGGGAAUAUUGGACAAUGGGCGAAAGCUUGAUCCAGCCAUGCCGCGUGUGUGAAGAAGGUCUUCGGGUUGUAAAGCACUUUAGGUUGGGAGGCGUUACCAACAGAAUAAGCACCGGCUAACUACGUGCCAGCAGCCGCGGUAAUAC